CUCUGGGAAACUGCAGGAAAAUUAACGUGGGAUUUCCCAUAUGUGACCUGAUGAAAGUGCACCACGGAGUCGUGAUUUGAAAGGUUAAGCCUGUCUGCUCCAGUCCAUUGGUUGGAUUAUCUUCCUCUCUUUUUCAUGGACACUCACUUGGCCACCCUCCCCAGACCUGUGGUUCCCUCAAUCCGACAAUGGCUGCGAUGCCUGAGGCUCUCUCCCCAGUCCACUUCCCCAGUUCCAUCCCCAAAACAAAUAAAGCUCUUGUUGAUGUUGCAACCUGUUUGUAUAUUGAGUCUGUUUCUGGGUUGCAUCCAUGCUUAUUUUCUUGAUAAAUGAAAUCAUUGUAAAAACAUGCAUUUUGUUUUAUCUUGUCUAAUAUUAAGUUUUUUGAUGUGUGACAAAUGCAUAAAAGUAAUAAAUAAGGAAGAGGGCAAAAACCUUUUCACUCCAGUGCCGAAAAAAGGUUUAAAU